GACAGUGGUGCCAAGCGUUAGGCGGAAUCACUGGGCUUAAAGCGUGUGUAGGCGGAUGUCUAAGUACCUUGUGAAAUCCCACGGCUCAACCGUGGAACUGCUUGGUAUACUGGAUGUCUUGAGCCAUCUAGGGGCUACCGGAACAAAUGGUGGAGCGGUGAAAUGCGUAGAUAUCAUUUGGAACGCCAAUGGUGAAAACAGGUAGCUGGGGAUGUGCUGACGCUGAGACACGAAAGCCAGGGGAGCGAACGGG
rnacentral:rRNA from 1 species